GGUCUGGUGGUGUAGUUGGUUAUCACGUCAGUCUAACAGAUUGAGGUCAUCUCACGAUGUUCUCACUGCACACUGAAGGUCUCCGGUUCAAGUCCGGGCUAGAUCA
rnacentral:tRNA from 1 species